rnacentral:rRNA from 1 species
GACGAACGCUGGCGGCGUGCUUAACACAUGCAAGUCGAACGGAAAGGCCCUGCUUUUGUGGGGUGCUCGAGUGGCGAACGGGUGAGUAACACGUGAGUAACCUGCCCUUGACUUUGGGAUAACUUCAGGAAACUGGGGCUAAUACCGGAUAGGAGCUCCUGCUGCAUGGUGGGGGUUGGAAAGUUUCGGCGGUUGGGGAUGGACUCGCGGCUUAUCAGCUUGUUGGUGGGGUAGUGGCUUACCAAGGCUUUGACUGGUAGCCGGCCUGAGAGGGUGACCGGCCACAUUGGGACUGAGAUACGGCCCAGACUCCUACGGGAGGCAGCAGUGGGGAAUAUUGCACAAUGGGCGGAAGCCUGAUGCAGCAACGCCGCGUGCGGGAUGACGGCCUUCGGGUUGUAAACCGCUUUCGCCUGUGACGAAGCGUGAGUGACGGUAAUGGGUAAAGAAGCACCGGCUAACUACGUGCCAGCAGCCGCGGUGAUACGUAGGGUGCGAGCGUUGUCCGGAUUUAUUGGGCGUAAAGGGCUCGUAGGUGGUUGAUCGCGUCGGAAGUGUAAUCUUGGGGCUUAACCCUGAGCGUGCUUUCGAUACGGGUUGACUUGAGGAAGGUAGGGGAGAAUGGAAUUCCUGGUGGAGCGGUGGAAUGCGCAGAUAUCAGGAGGAACACCAGUGGCGAAGGCGGUUCUCUGGGCCUUUCCUGACGCUGAGGAGCGAAAGCGUGGGGAGCGAACAGGCUUAGAUACCCUGGUAGUCCACGCUGUAAACGGUGGGUACUAGGUGUGGGGUCCAUUCCACGGGUUCCGUGCCGUAGCUAACGCUUUAAGUACCCCGCCUGGGGAGUACGGCCGCAAGGCUAAAACUCAAAGGAAUUGACGGGGCCCCGCACAAGCGGCGGAGCAUGCGGAUUAAUUCGAUGCAACGCGUAGAACCUUACCUGGGUUUGACAUGGAUCGGGAGUGCUCAGAGAUGGGUGUGCCUCUUUUGGGGUCGGUUCACAGGUGGUGCAUGGCUGUCGUCAGCUCGUGUCGUGAGAUGUUGGGUUAAGUCCCGCAACGAGCGCAACCCUUGUUCACUGUUGCCAGCACGUUAUGGUGGGGACUCAGUGGAGACCGCCGGGGUCAACUCGGAGGAAGGUGGGGAUGACGUCAAGUCAUCAUGCCCCUUAUGUCCAGGGCUUCACGCAUGCUACAAUGGCUGGUACAGAGAGUGGCGAGCCUGUGAGGGUGAGCGAAUCUCGGAAAGUCGGUCUCAGUUCGGAUUGGGGUCUGCAACUCGACCUCAUGAAGUCGGAGUCGCUAGUAAUCGCAGAUCAGCAACGCUGCGGUGAAUACGUUCCCGGGGCU